rnacentral:rRNA from 1 species
CGCAGAUACCAGGUGGCUGCAACUGUUUAUUAAAAACACAGCACUGUGCAAAAUCGUAAGAUGACGUAUACGGUGUGACGCCUGCCCGGUGCCGGAAGGUUAAUUGAUGGGGUUAGACUUCGGUCGAAGCUCUUGAUCGAAGCCCCGGUAAACGGCGGCCGUAACUAUAACGGUCCUAAGGUAGCGAAAUUCCUUGUCGGGUAAGUUCCGACCUGCACGAAUGGCGUAAUGAUGGCCACGCUGUCUCCACCCGAGACUCAGUGAAAUUGAAAUCGCUGUGAAGAUGCAGUGUACCCGCGGCUAGACGGAAAGACCCCGUGAACCUUUACUACAGCUUGGCACUGAACAUUGACCCUACAUGUGUAGGAUAGGUGGGAGGCUUUGAAGCAGGUACGCCAGUAUCUGUGGAGCCGUCCUUGAAAUACCACCCUUGUAGUGUUGAUGUUCUAACGUCGACCCCUUAUCGGGGUUGCGGACAGUGCCUGGUGGGUAGUUUGACUGGGGCGGUCUCCUCCCAAAGAGUAACGGAGGAGCACGAAGGUGGGCUAAUCACGGUUGGACAUCGUGAGGUUAGUGCAAUGGCAUAAGCCCGCUUGACUGCGAGAAUGACAAUUCGAGCAGGUGCGAAAGCAGGUCAUAGUGAUCCGGUGGUUCUGAAUGGAAGGGCCAUCGCUCAACGGAUAAAAGGUACUCCGGGGAUAACAGGCUGAUACCGCCCAAGAGUUCAUAUCGACGGCGGUGUUUGGCACCUCGAUGUCGGCUCAUCACAUCCUGGGGCUGAAGUCGGUCCCAAGGGUAUGGCUGUUCGCCAUUUAAAGUGGUACGCGAGCUGGGUUUAGAACGUCGUGAGACAGUUCGGUCCCUAUCUGCCGUGGGCGUUGGAAGAUUGAAGGGGGCUGCUCCUAGUACGAGAGGACCGGAGUGGACGAACCUCUGGUGUUCGGGUUGUGUCGCCAGACGCAUUGCCCGGUAGCUAAGUUCGGAAUCGAUAACCGCUGAAAGCAUCUAAGCGGGAAGCGAGCCCUGAGAUGAGUCUUCCCUGAUACUUUAAGUAUCCUAAAGGGUUGUCGGAGACUACGACGUUGAUAGGUCAGGUGUGUAAGUGCUGUGAGGCAUUGAGCUAACUGAUACUAAUUGCCCGUGAGGCUUAACCAUACAACAC